GGACUACCAGGGUUUCUAAUCCUGUUUGCUCCCCACGCUUUCGCACCUCAGUGUCAGUGUUGGACCAGGAAGCCGCCUUCGCCACUGAUGUUCCUCCAGAUAUCUACGCAUUUCACCGCUACACCUGGAAUUCCGCUUCCCUCUUCCACACUCUAGCAAGACAGUCUUGAAUGCAAUUCCCAAGUUAAGCUCGGGGAUUUCACAUCCAACUUAUCAAGCCACCUACGUGCGCUUUACGCCCAGUAAUUCCGAUUAACGCUUGCACCCUCUGUAUUACCGCGGCGGCUGGCAC
rnacentral:rRNA from 1 species